AGACUGGUAGCUCAGUGGUAGAGCAAUGGACUACACUUCCAUAUGUCGUAGGUUCAAUUCCUAUCAGGUCUU